GAUGAACGCUGGCGGCGUGCCUAAUACAUGCAAGUCGAGCGAACAGAUAAGGAGCUUGCUCCUUUGACGUUAGCGGCGGACGGGUGAGUAACACGUGGGUAACCUACCUAUAAGACUGGGAUCACUUCGGGAAACCGGAGCUAAUACCGGAUAACAUUUGGAACCGCAUGGUUCUAAAGUGAGAGAUGGUUUUGCUAUCACUGCUAGAUGGACACGCGCCGGUUUAGCUAGUUGGUACGGUAAAGACUUACCAAGGCUACGAUACGUAGCCGACCUGUGAGAGGGAUCGGCCACACUGGAGCUGAGCCACCGUCCAGACUACUACGGGAGGCACCAGAAGGGUACCUUCCGCAAUGGGCGAGAGCCUGGCAGAGCAACGCCGAGUGAGAUAUGAAGGGUUUCGGUUCGUAAAACUCUGUUAUUAGGGGAGAACAAACGUGGAAUUAACUGUGCACGGAUUGACGGUACCUAAUAAGAAAGCAACGGCUAACUACGUG
rnacentral:rRNA from 1 species